GAGGGGGUGAUUGAACGUUGCCUCGGGAGGGACGUAAGAGAACUUUCUGGGGAGAGGGAAAUGGCCUGCAGCUUGAUCGGGGUGGUGGUUACAUGGGUGUAUACGACUGUCGAAAUUCAUGAAACUGUAUUCCUGAGCUUUGUGCAUUUUCUUCCACAUAAAUUGCAUCUCAAUGAAAAAUAAACCCUGCCCAGCCAUACCGUAGUCCCGUGGUUAUCUCCCAGCGGCAGCGAAAGACAGUUGUGUCGUUCAACAUCUUCACACGCAUUUCAUUUUCAGGUGUGUUUUGUUUUGGUUUGUUCUGUUUGUAGAUUUUAACCAUUUUCAUAGGUAUCACAGCUGGCUUCUCUCCCAGAACAAUCUAUCCAAGAGGUCGAGGCAGAGGUUUAGACCUUUAUGACCUAGACUCAGAAAUCAACUUGUGCAACUUUCUGUUGGUCACAUGGGUCAGCCCUGAUUCUUUGUGGGAGGGACCCAUGUCCAUGACUGUGAAGACCAGGAGGUAAGGAUCAGUGAAGGUCAUCUGGAGGUUGGCUAUCACGUUCACAUGGGUGAAUUUUUUUUUUAGAUUUGGCAAACGUGCUGUAUCAGAAUGAACUAUGGCAUUUCUCCCAAUUGCGUCCGAGUUUAUCGGGGGUGCACGUUGGGCAGCUGACACAUUGACGGUCUUCCUGAUGAGAGCUUUGGGGUCAAACUUUUCCCGUUUCUGUCAUUUAUUGAGCACUUCCUGUCCGUUCGGAUGACUACAGGCCACCUCGUCUGCCUCAACUAUCUUGGCGUGGGCUCCCCCUGCCAGCACAUCACUGCUUCCCUAAGUCAACUGAUUCCUGGUUGAGAAUCAGCCAGCCCACCUGACUGCAGACACACACCACGUCGUCAAGGUCGGCCUCAUCAGCCACGCGUGUGCUAUUUUGGCCGCAGAUGCUGGUUCCUCUGACUGAGUUGCCAGACGGCUCAGAACUCACGGCGCUGGUCACCCUCCCUAGUCUGGCAUCUGCCCUCACCGCUGGGACGUAGCCGUGCCUCUGCGGGGAUGGCUAUGGGGAACCAUCUUCCUGAAUCUUGAUUGGAGGGCCCUGGAGGGCAGACCUCUUCUCUUUCGGCUGCUGAACCGAGAUGGGAAGGCGGCUCGAUUCCGGCCAUCCUGUGCCCUACGCAUCCCGCACACCCGACCGAAAUGUUGAGAACGCAGAGCAGAGAGAGAGAAAGAUGGGCUAUUUGGGUCAUGGUGGGAUUACCAACCCCCUAGCCGUUCUGCCCUCCGUGUGUGAGCCAACAGUCACCUCCAUUGUCCACAUCGCCUCAGGUCGAGGUUUCAGCGACUCGCAGACCUCUGUGUUCUCUUGGCUUCAACUAUCGUUGACUUGCAGACUAUGCACACGUUGGCACCGGGCCGGACUAAUCCUCAGAGUCUGGAAUGCGCAAAGCUUCAGUACCUAGUUAGGUCAAAGACUCCUUUAGCGCAGGAAGCCCGAAGACCACACUGUCAUCUGUCCCCUUACACCUGUUACCCUCCCACGUUCUGCACUGGACCGUGUGCUGCCCACACCCACCCUGCUAUGCAAGCAGAGACCUGGACGCCCUCCCUGGUGCACCCUUCUCCCUCACCCUUCCUAGCCAAACCUCCAGCCUAGAAAGUCUCUCUCAUGCUUCUUCUCCUCUCGUCCUCAUCGCCUGUCCCCCAGGACACGCCAUCACCCCUGUCUUCCGGCCCCGGACUCCCCGAUCGCGUGUCUGCUAUCAACCCUCCCCUGUCUCCCCACGUGGUCAUCGCAUGACCCCCCGACCAGGCCUGUUUUUAGUCGCCAUCGCGUCUCCAGAGCCCCACACUGUGAUGUCACCUAGAACGUGCCAGUAAAGACUUGGUGCUUCCGGAGCGGGUCCCUUCCAGAGCGUAGGCACCCCCGGGGCGGGGAGGCGCCUACGCACACAGGGCCGGAGGGUGGCCUAAUUUCUCAGGCCUCGUUGUUCCGCAGCCGGAAAGACUGACAUUGGUGCAGGCAGUGUCUUGUCUGAUCACGUCCCCCUUGGGUACCGGCUAGGUAACAGGCCCUCUGGGCAGAUAGAGAGGACGAGGUCCACAGGGCCUGCAUCAGGGGCACAGACAGGCCAAGGGAAGCGCCCCUUCACACAGCUGGGUCUCGUAGCAGCUGCAUCUAAAAGGGAGGUGGAGACAGCGCACAGAAAGUCAUGCUGUCUUCUCCCUGAACAGAUAUGACUUAAGGAGCCGGCCAGCGGCUCUGUCAUCACGACGGCCACGCGGCGUCCCUCCACUGUACGUGCCGAAGUCACCGUGUGUCAUGCUGAGCGGCCCCACCGGCAGGUGCGUUUCCGAGUCAACCUGUGCGGUGAGCCUGGCCUUAGUGGGUGAGGAAGAAAGGGGGUAUGGGAAUCACAGCCUUGCCCAGGGGCUGGAGGCUGGCUCCCCAUCUGCCAGCAGCAGCAAAGCACCUGCAGAGAACCAUUGGCCCCUCGGUCCAAGCUAAGGGCAGGAGGGAGACGAUUCGCAGCCACGGCAAGAGGGAGGCUGGGGAGGUGGCGUCCUCGGGGAGUGGCGCACUCAGGAAAAGGAAGGGGAGAGAAAGUUCACAGGAGAGAAGUGGCUGAGUCUGUGGGUCCUUUGCGGGAGACUGGGAAAGGACCGUUUGGAAGGGGCUUGGACCCCGAGCGGUCCCAAGUGGGGGCAUUUCGUUCCAUUGUCACGCUUGGCAGACCUAUGACAAUUUUGAGUUCAGGCCACCCCACGUUUUUAGGGAAGCGGCACCGACAGAGGCGGGGGCCUUGCCCUCUGACCCGACUGUCCCCAGCACGAGUGAGCAGACUGAGCUGACCCCCGUCACGUGCCGAGACAGAAUGUUUCUGUUUUAGUCACACCGUGGGUCAUCGACCACAAAUGCAGGCACACGCGGGGGCUGGGAGGGACCUGCCCCCUCCCCGUUACUAGAGCACUGGGCCCACCCCUUCCUGUUGUAACUGUCCAAACAUGAAAAGACGUUAGUACCUGGAGAAUCUUCUCUCUGAGACUGAAGUUCGUUUCCUGACUGCCGACUGGCGUCCGAGCAAGGAGAAACACCUCCAAAGGGAUGUCACGCGAGGGAGAAACGUCUUUUCCUUGUAAAGCCUGUUGUGAACGUCACCUUCUUGCCUGGCCCGGUGGGCUGACUGGCCCCGGGCUCUGCUCCUGAGGGCGGUGACCCGUUCGUAGACACACGGGGGGCGGUGAUGCGUCUCCGAUGUCAGGGGUCCACCUCAGGCACACAAAUGUAGAAUCUGUCAUCCCCAGGAGACUGGUUGCGGGGGAAGUCUGAGAUAAUCUGGUCGGAGGAGACGCUCUGGGUCACGAGCCACACCCUCCGGGAGCGUUCCUCUCCUGCCGACUCUGCGUUAGCCGCCGAAUCCUACCACCCACCCGUCUCCCCGGCUCUGGGCUGUUUUUACUCUAAACUCAGAUGCCUUUGGAUCUCUUGCUCCAGUGGCCGUCCGCGUCGUAGGGGAGCCCUAAUUCCCUGAGUGUGCAAGAGACAGGCAGCAUCUGAAGGGAGGCGGGGGAGGGAGAGACAGGGGAGGGAGAGCCACGCCAACACCAGCUUGGCCACUGAGUCACAUUUCCUGAAGGACGCACGGGAAAGUCGCCUUGCAAACCCCAGACUCAAGGUCCUGUCACCAACUCAUCCUUCGGUGGGAUUAGGACCCACAAACCUGCCACAAACCUGCUCUCUGACUUCACCACCCUGCUCUUCAGGGGGCCGUUCCCAAGCAGGUGCACAGCCUGCCCUGGCCCCAGCUGUCCUUGGGGCCACCAUGCCCCCACUGGACCCCACCGGACCCCACUGGACAGAGAGAGGCAUUCGCUUUUCUUCCGUGCUGUCACACUGGCUGGAAUCCAGUCGCACGGAAAUAAACACGCACCGUACGUGAUCCCACCUGGCGGGGAGCCACGUGCUUUGACCAAUGGCAGCUGCCGGACGCGGCAAACGAUUCGCUGCAGAGGGCGAGGGGCCCGUGGGGUUCAAGUGAGAUGUGCCUCGGCAAGGGAGCCUGGCCGGACAACGACCCGCUUUCCACGUCUGCUCCCACCCCCAACGACCGGCUACAAUCUGUAGGAGCAGCUGUUUAAACGGACCCUUUCUUGGAUGCUGCUUCUCCUCUGGUCCUUCGCGAAGAUGUUCAGGGACGCUGGAGACCGGAGCUGGUGCCGCUCGGGCCGGCUUCACCGUGUCAGGGCAGGCCCCCCGGGGACCUCGCUGAGCGCCUCUUAUACGAAGUCUGUUGCUGGAAACGGAGCAGGUCAGAGCCGAGGGCCAGAGCCGGAAGGAGCGACGUGCCCACUGCAGGGACCGGUGUGGCCUGGGCAGCCAGGAGGGACACGCGCUAACAGGGCUGGACGCCGGACGCCGGCCCCGCUGGCCUGAGAUCUCACAACGGCCAAGCUCCGCUCUUCCGAAGCCGGGGAGGGCUUCCGCACGGCCUGCGUUUGUGCGGCGCCUUGGCAUUUGCGAGCGGGUUCAC